UUACGGCACAAGCAAAAAGAGUGGGACUGCAAUUCACCACAAAGACAUUCGUCUGUUGUGGGAUUAUUACUUUGUGAAGAAAAUGGCCUUACAUACGUUUUCAGACGUGCGACUAAAGUUACCGAAAGUGCAGUUCACAUAUUUCUGGCAUAAACUCGGAGAACAUUCGACGAAGUCACCAAACGUCUUCUCUCCCGUCGUCUUUAUGUGUUUUCAUGUGCUGGUCACAUGCAGCGGGUAGGGAGGUGUAUGCUCUCGGAGGUCUUCUCUCUGACAAAUGUAUGACCCUAAUUUCCUUAUGGCGCCCUUUUAUGCGCAAAAGAACCCUUGCGCUUACAUAUCCGGAUGUGAUUGGAGGUUCCUUUCGAAAAUAAAUUUAAUGGCCCUCGCGAAAUUCUAUGCUAUUCUAUUUUUGAUGACUCGCUAUACUAAGCAUCGAGAUAAACAUUUACGACCUAGCUGAUCAGACCGAUUUCACGACAAUCUCCGAAUUGACGUACAUGCGGAGCCUGUCUAUACGAGGGUCUUGCUGAGUAGUUCUGUAAGCCGAUUCAUUUGUGGUUGACGAGGUGUCAUCGUCUUACGCACCGUGUCAUUGAGCGUGAGUACACUACUCCUCAGUUCAGCUGAAAAUGUGGUUUCUCGGCCUGUUAUGAUAACCGAUUGCGUGGCGUGCCUCAGAACAGUGUUCCCGAAGAAAAAUCUUGUUGCUGCAGCUGCUGUAUCGUUCGGGAGUGUCUUGGUUUCCAUGCAUCGAAUGAGCUGCUUAUCACGGUGAUGACCCAUCUAUUUCAGAAGCAGACAUUGGAAGUGGACCCAGAAGGUGAAUCCCAUUUCAAUCAAACGGCGUUUCCGGUAUUUCAAAGAGUGCCUGUAGCCACUGCAUUACGAGGGGGAUGAACCAUUGUAUUUUUGCUUGCUUAGGGAGCCAUGAGCCUUUGCUGAUGAUGAUAAAUUUGUUCACGGUUGGACACGAGUAAAUGCAACUAUCGAGAGGCUAACAGCUUCGCUAUAAGAAAAUCCGUGAUAUUAC